CAGGCAGCUGAUUGGAUCAGUCCUGUGUCAAGUCCACAAGUGAGUUUGGCCUUAUAAGGAAACACGGGACGCUUAUUAAAGCAAAGGCUGAACUAGAUUAGCAGCUGCCACUGAGGAAGCUGGACUGCUACUGACAAAGAAACAAAACAAAAAAAAACAACAACAACAACAAAAACAGAGAAGUGAGGGUGUUUGUGGUGGGAUGCAGGUGUGGGCGGUGCAUUCGGAGGAAGAUCUAAUGCAUGCAACAACUUGUACCUACCAUGGUAGGUACAAGUUGAGGACACUUCACUCAAUUUUCCAAAAAAGUGCAGCCAAAGAACCAACAGACACUUUCACGACAGAGCAGGAUGAUGCAAGAUUGCCACAUCAACAGACACCUGCAGACCCAACCCGUCCUGCAGGUUUAACCCACAAGAAAACUGUUACCGCACAGCACAUUGAUGGGAAUAACAGCAGAUAAUCAUCACCCUCAGAGCUUGAAACCAUCAGAUAAAGUCUGCUAUUAAGUAACAGCGGUUGGAGUGGUUUGGAAGGAAAGGGGUUUUCUCUGAGUGGCCUCAGCAGCUUUUGUGUUUUUGUGGCCACACAAGCACCAUUCAGACAGAUGACCCGCUGCAAACUCUCCCCCUCCCCACCUCAACUCAGCUCUUCUCCUGAGGAAACCAGGACACCAACCGAUUAUUCCUGUGGACAUUUAAAUAAUUGUGGUAGCUGAGAGAAAAGACAACUGCUUUCCCUUGUUGCCAUGGAGGGGAUUAAAUGAGCAGUAUAAAAGGCUGGCCGGGCUUUCAAUACAAGUGUCGAGACGGGAUUAGUGGCGUUAGAGAGGCCGCCGUAUGACCUUCUGACUGCUUAGUUCAUUAGGUACAACACAGGCCUGGAGCUUGUGUUCGUUAUCCAACUGUUUAAUAGCAGCUCCUCCACCCGGAUUUACGAUGAGCUUAAUUAAAGCCCAGCCAUCUCCAAACGCCUGUCAUCUUCUACUAGUGUCCUGAAUAAAGGCAGAUUCACAGAGAGCAUAAACCCCACACAAUGAGGUGUUAUGUUUCAUAAAAAACUUAAAACACAAAAAAGGCUCCAUUCACGGCUGUCAUGCCGAGUUUAAAUUACACCGCAACCUCAUGUGAACUUCUCCUCCGGGUUUGUUUCGUUUGAAUCCGAGUUCACCGCGGAAAACCCUGACACUCGAGUCACCACAAACAUCAUCAGUGAAAAUGUGGGAUCUCUGUGACCUACAGGCUGCUG